rnacentral:piRNA from 1 species
UCUAACUGGAAAUUUGAUGUUCAAGACAGA